GGACUCUGGCUCAGUGACCAAAACAUCUGAGUGACAUGCAGAAGGCCCCAGGUUCAAUCCCCGGCAUCUCCA
rnacentral:tRNA from 1 species